rnacentral:lncRNA from 14 species
AUCAGUCAUAUUUUUAUUAUAUAUUAUUCAGAAGAUACAACUUCUGGUAAACUCUUUUGGUCAAAAGACUUCAGAUGUCACCCAUUUUUCUUACACAGGAACUUGUUAAAAGAAGCUGCACUAAAAUACAGCAGACCAUCAAAAUCUGUUUGUGAAGGUUUGUUACAAAGCAGGAAAAGUCACAUCCACGUGUGGAAACACUGCUGCUUUCUCGCAAAUAGAAAAAGAGUCGGACUGUUUAAAAGUACAAUAAAGCCCUACUUAUUCACAUACGAUGUGUCUAUUCCAAGAGUGUAUGCACACGUGAGUUCAAACAAACCAGAAACAUACUCCAACGUGAAAAACAGUGUUUCACAUCCUUCUAUGUAUUUCGACCUCGAACACUAGCUAUGUGAGCAUUCAGGACCAUCGCAGACACCAAACACACAAACACAGCAUAAAAACGCGAGUGAAAAAACCCUGGCCAGCAGCACAGACAAGGCCCUGUCUACGUCGGCCAUACAUCUAACGCCCAAGUUCAGAAACUCCCCAGGCUGUAUACUGGGGGCCAUCCAAAGCCUGGGGUGCUGGGUUUAUUUGGCGGGUGGGCACAUAUCACAGCUCCAAGCGGUGGCUGGCGCGUCCGUCCGUUAUUCGCGGCAGUCUCAGCCCGUAGCACAGAACAGGAGCGGACAUGCCGGGUCCCCACCGUCGGGGACAGAUGCUGCAGGAUCUGGCCGGCCCAACCCCGUGCAGGGCCCCGCGGCCCCGGCCCAGCGGCAGCCACAGGGCCCGGCGCGCUGCGGCCCCGCUGGGGCGAAACCGCCCCCAGGCAACAGACGCCGCCGCCGGUUCCCCGCACCACCGUCGAGCGAGGACACCAGGUGCCACCGCCGCAGCCCCCUCAGAAGAAAGCGUGAGCGGAGCCGCUGCCCGCCCCGCCCGCAAGUAAAUCCCCGCACAGGGCCUACCCGCCCCCGGCACCGGCUGCCUGACGGGCGGGAGGGGCGCCGGGCCGGGCAGGACACGGCAAGGGGUAGGGGUAGGCUACCCCCUGCCCGACCACCGCUCUCGGGGUCGGACAGCAGCGGCGGCGCCAGCGCUCCGAGCACAACACCUUCCUACCUGACAAGCCGAACCCCUCCGCAGCCGCGGGCGUCACAGCCCUACCAGAGCCGCG